rnacentral:rRNA from 1 species
UGAGUUCUGGGCCGCACGCGCGCUACACUGACGGAGCCAGCAAGUACAACCUUGGUCGAGAGGCCCGGGUAAUCUCGUGAAACUCCGUCGUGCUGGGGAUAGAGCAUUGCAAUUUUUGCUCUUCAACGAGGAAUUCCUAGUAAGCGCAAGUCAUCAGCUUGCGUUGAUUACGUCCCUGCCCUUUGUACACACCGCCCGUCGCUACUACCGAUUGAAUGGCUUAGUGAGGCUUCAGGAUUGGCGCCGCGGGAGGGGCAACUUUCCCAUGGCGCGGAGAAUCUAGACAAACUUGGUCAUUUAGAGGUCGUAAAAGUCGUAACAAGGUUUCCGUAGGUGAACCUGCGGAAGGAUCAUUACUGUGAAUACAUUCUACACUGCGUGAGCGCACACAACACAUAAACGGGAAUACGUGGUCAAAGAAAUCUAAUACAAAACUUUCAACAACGGAUCUCUUGGUUCUCGCAUCGAUGAAGAGCGCAGCGAAAUGCGAUACCUAGUGUGAAUUGCAGCCAUCGUGAAUCAUCGAGUUCUUGAACGCACAUUGCGCCCGUCGGCAUUCCGGCGGGCAUGCCUGUCUGAGCGUCGUUUCCUUCUUGCGCAAGCAGAGAUGACCGAGCCCCGGCCCGGUUGAAACGGAACGUUGCGGGUGUGAGCGAACUAUGUUGGGACGCUCGUGCCGCCGAAACUUUCCAAGCUCGACCUCAGAUCAGGUAGGAAUACCCCUGAACUUAGCCUAUCAUUAGCGGAGGAAAAAAACCACAGGGAUGCCCCAUACGGCAAUGAACGCAAACUCAAUUGAAUCUGUUCGCCCAUUUAAAUGAGCGGAUGUUGCGCGCAUGUCAUCCUGGAAGGGGCCUGGGGAACCCGGAGUCCAACUUAACUGUAAACAUUUGGAGAUCACGGGAUCUCAGA